UUUCUGAUACUUUGCCUCAUUAUUUAGUUAUAUGUUAAGGUAAAACUCACGCUGAAUAAUUUCUUUUCCAGGAGUAUGACAACCUACUGGCACUAUCAAAGUUUUGAUUGACCAGAGUGUUCAUCUAGGUCUUUUUCCAAAGCAACCUGUGAUAUGAACUUCAUCAGAAUUGUUUUUCAAAUGUAAACGGUGAUAUGUAUAUUUGACGCUCUGUGGCUUUUGCUUGGAAGUCAACAAAAGUCUUACUAAAUGAUAUAGAUUGUUUAAAAAAAUCUUUUCAUUUGAGUAUUGUUCUUCAUUGAAUCGGCAGUGAAAACAAUUUCAUUAUCGUCUGAUUUUGUCACAGUUUGUAUCACAGUUCAUUAUUUAUUGCAUAUACACUGGAUAGUAGAAUAUAAAAAUAUACUUUCGAUUAGAAUUAAUUGAUUGUAGAUAUUUUAAUUUAAUUAGUAUAUAUAUAUAUUCCAUAUUUCUUUUCAAAGAACAUGUUUCAUGAAAUGGUGACAUUCUGUUAAAAUUAAGUGAAUUCAAAUUUCUUCUGACAUUGGUGCAAUUUUUUAUAUGUUAUACAGUGUAGAUAAUGUAGCUAAGAUAUAUCAUACCAUUUAUUUUACAUUUUUACUUGGUGUUGAUAUUGCGACAGAUGAAAUAAUGAUUAAUUUUACCAACAAUAUUCUUUAAUGAUACAAAGGUUGUUGGCUGGGAAACAAACCCAAGAAUUCCAUUUUUACUCACAAAAUACCCAUCCCAUCUAUCAUCAUUUUUUUAUAUGAAAAAAAAAUAAAGUAAGUUAAAAAAAAAUAAAAUGAGUUUUUGUAUAGACGACAUAUUCACCCAACUCCACUGUAAUCCAUCUUCAUUAUUGGUCGUUAAUUGUGACUCUAUUUUAAGUUAUUUUAAAGUGUUUUACUGUUAAUAUAUAUGUAUGAUGUACACUUGUUUACUGUAUGAACAUAUAUAAUAUGCUCUGUAAUUGUUGAAUUUUCGUGAAUGUGAUUUUUCAUAUGAAUUCCAGUUUAUAAUAAUUAUUAUUUUGUACUACGUUGGAAGUGAGAUAGGAAGAGAGGAAGCGUUAUGGUUUUGAAGGCAAUAAAAUAAACCCUUU
rnacentral:misc_RNA from 1 species